rnacentral:rRNA from 1 species
GAUGAACGCUGGCGGCGUGCCUAAUACAUGCAAGUAGAACGCUGAAGGAAGGAGCUUGCUCUUUCCGGAUGAGUUGCGAACGGGUGAGUAACGCGUAGGUAACCUGCCUGGUAGCGGGGGAUAACUAUUGGAAACGAUAGCUAAUACCGCAUAACGGUAGAUGUUGCAUGAUAUCUACUUAAAAGGUGCAAUUGCACCACUACCAGAUGGACCUGCGUUGUAUUAGCUAGUUGGUGAGGUAACGGCUCACCAAGGCGACGAUACAUAGCCGACCUGAGAGGGUGAUCGGCCACACUGGGACUGAGACACGGCCCAGACUCCUACGGGAGGCAGCAGUAGGGAAUCUUCGGCAAUGGACGGAAGUCUGACCGAGCAACGCCGCGUGAGUGAAGAAGGUUUUCGGAUCGUAAAGCUCUGUUGUAAGAGAAGAACGAGUGUGAGAGUGGAAAGUUCACACUGUGACGGUAUCUUACCAGAAAGGGACGGCUAACUACGUG